rnacentral:tRNA from 1 species
GGGCGGUUAGCUCAGUUGGUUAGAGCGCCAGCUCGACAAGCUGGAGGCCACUGGUUCGAGUCCAGUACCGCCCACCA